GUGAAUAUAGUUUAACAAAACGCUAGAUUGUGAUUCUAGUAAUAAAGGUUGAAACCCUUUUACUCACC
rnacentral:tRNA from 1 species